rnacentral:rRNA from 1 species
CCCCUGUGACAUACCAAUUGUUGCCUCGGCGGAUCAGCCCGCUCCCGGUAAAACGGGACGGCCCGCCAGAGGACCCCUAAACUCUGUUUCUAUAUGUAACUUCUGAGUAAAACCAUAAAUAAAUCAAAACUUUCAACAACGGAUCUCUUGGUUCUGGCAUCGAUGAAGAACGCAGCAAAAUGCGAUAAGUAAUGUGAAUUGCAGAAUUCAGUGAAUCAUCGAAUCUUUGAACGCACAUUGCGCCCGCCAGUAUUCUGGCGGGCAUGCCUGUUCGAGCGUCAUUUCAACCCUCAAGCCCCCGGGUUUGGUGUUGGGGAUCGGCGAGCCUCACGGCAAGCCGGCCCCGAAAUACAGUGGCGGUCUCGCUGCAGCUUCCAUUGCGUAGUAGUAAAACCCUCGCAACUGGUACGCGGCGCGGCCAAGCCGUUAAACCCCCAACUUCUGAAUGUUGACCUCGGAUCAGGUAGGAAUACCCGCUGAACUUAAGCAUAUCAAUAAGCGGAGGAA